UACGGAGGGGGCUAGCGUUGUUCGGAAUUACUGGGCGUAAAGCGCACGUAGGCGGCGAUUUAAGUCAGAGGUGAAAGCCCGGGGCUCAACCCCGGAAUAGCCUUUGAGACUGGAUUGCUAGAAUCUUGGAGAGGCGAGUGGAAUUCCGAGUGUAGAGGUGAAAUUCGUAGAUAUUCGGAAGAACACCAGUGGCGAAGGCGGCUCGCUGGACGGACAUUGACGCUGAGACGCGAAAGCGUGGGGAGCAAACAGG
rnacentral:rRNA from 1 species